rnacentral:rRNA from 1 species
UUCGCAAUGCCCGAAAGGGUGACAAUGCGACGCCGCGUGAGCGAUGAAGGCCUUCGGGUUGUAAAGCUCUGUCAGCUCGGAUGAAUGCAGAAAGACUAAUACUUUUUCUGUUUGACGGUACGAGCAGAGGAAGCCACGGCUAACUCCGUGCCAGCAGCCGCGGUAAUACGGAGGUGGCAAGCGUUGUUCGGAUUUACUGGGUGUAAAGGUCAUGUAGGCGUCUUAUUAAGUCGGGUGUGAAAUCCCUUGGCUCAACCAAGGAACUGCAUUCGAUACUGGUAAGAUUGAGUACGAGAGAGGAAAGCGGAAUUCCGGAAGUAAGGGUGAAAUCUGUAGAUAUCCGGAAGAACACCAUUAGCGAAGGCGGCUUUCUGGUCCGAUACUGACGCUGAAAUGAGAAAGCUAAGGGAGCAAACAGGAUUAGAUACCCUGGUAGUCUUAGCUGUAAACGAUGGGCACUAAGUAGAGGGGUUUU